CAGUAGCCGCGGUAAUACGAAGGGUGCGAGCGUUAAUCGGAAUUACUGGGCGUAAAGAGUGCGUAGGUGGUUAAUUAAGUUAUCUGUGAAAUUCCUGGGCUUAACCUGGGCAGGUCAGAUAAUACUGGUUAACUCGAGUAUGGGAGAGGGUAGUGGAAUUUCCGGUGUAGCGGUGAAAUGCGUAGAGAUCGGAAGGAACACCAGUGGCGAAGGCAGCUACCUGGCCUAAUACUGACACUGAGGCACGAAAGCGUGGGGAGCAAACAGGAUUAGAUACCCGCGUAGUCCCUGUCUCUUAUAC
rnacentral:rRNA from 1 species